rnacentral:rRNA from 1 species
GAAUGUCUGGGAAACUGCCUGAUGGAGGGGGAUAACUACUGGAAACGGUAGCUAAUACCGCAUAACGUCGCAAGACCAAAGAGGGGGACCUUCGGGCCUCUUGCCAUCGGAUGUGCCCAGAUGGGAUUAGCUAGUAGGUGGGGUAACGGCUCACCUAGGCGACGAUCCCUAGCUGGUCUGAGAGGAUGACCAGCCACACUGGAACUGAGACACGGUCCAG